rnacentral:rRNA from 1 species
AACGUAGGUGGCGAGCGUUAUCCGGAUUUACUGGGCGCAAAGCGUGUGCAGGCGGGAUGAUAAGUGGUGUAUGAAAUUUCCCAGCUUAACUGGGAGGGGUUAUGCCAGACUGUCAUUCUAGAGUGCGAGAGAGGAACGUGGAAUUCCGGGUGUAGUGGUGAAAUGCGUAGAGAUCCGGAGGAACCCCAGAGGCGAAGGCGGCGUUCUGGCUCGCAACUGACGCUCAGACACGACAGCAUGGGGAGCAAACAGG